CUGAAUAGACGGNCCUCGAUCCCGCG
rnacentral:tRNA from 2 species